rnacentral:rRNA from 1 species
AUUGAACGCUGGCGGCAGACCUAACACAUGCAAGUCGAGCGGAGCGGCGGACGGGUGAGUAAUGCCUAGGAAUCUGCCUGGUAGUGGGGGAUAACGUCCGGAAACGGGCGCUAAUACCGCAUACUAUCAGAUGAGCCUAGGUCGGAUUAGCUAGUUGGGGGGGUAAAGGCCUACAAAGGCGACGAUCCGUAACUGGUCGGAGAGGAUGAUCAGUCACACGGGAAAUGAGACACGGUCCAGACUCCUACGGGAGGCAGCAGGGGGGAAUAUUGGACAAUGGGCGAAAGCGUGAUCCAGCCAUGCCGCGUGUGUGAAGAAGGUCUUCGGAUUGUAAAGCACUUUAAGUUGGGAGGCGUUACCAACAGAAUAAGCCACGGCUAACUACGUGCCAGCCGCCGCGGUAAUUC